rnacentral:rRNA from 1 species
AAUGAACGCUGGCGGCAUGCUUAACACAUGCAAGCCGAACGCUAUUUAUAGAGUGGCGCACGGGUGAGUAACGCGUGGGAAACUGCCCUUCUGAGUGGGAUAACGUUUGGAAACGAACGCUAAUACCACAUACGCCCUACGGGGGAAAGGUCCGCCGCAGAAGGAGGUGCCCGCGUCCGAUUAGCUUGUUGGUGAGGUAAUGGCUCACCAAGGCGACGAUCGGUAGCUGGUCUGAGAGGAUGAUCAGCCACACUGGGACUGAGACACGGCCCAG